UUUUAGUCCUCCCCCUGGUGGUAGUAACGACCUCCACAGCAUAUCAAUGUCCUGCAGCCGCCUGCUAACGAGCCAUCGUUUGACCCAGGUGUGUUGGACCAAGGAGCAAACUAAAACAUAGAGGAUGCCAGCCCUCAAGGAUCACGGUUGGACACCUCUGGAUUAAAGCUUAACAUCCUAGAAAUCCACAGUGUAGCAAAGCCCUUCCAAUGAAGCCACCUUCAGGAACAUCAACAUGACAAGCAUGACGAGUCCUGAGCAGCAGCAAAGGAUAUGAACGCUGAGCCUCAGGGGCCCUCUCUCCGAAGAUAUUGAUCUGCUGUUGCUCUGAGAAAUGGUUCACAGAUUUUUCCACGAGACAAAGAGAAAGAUGUGCACAAAAUCCCGUAGUUCCAGAGGAAGGAAAUUCAUAAAGAAGAGUUAGGAGGCAGCAGCUGCUGCUUUCCUGCAAAACCCGAGACGUGCAUCGUCAUUCUCUGUCCUCUAAUUCUUUUUCAUUCAAACAGAGUGCAGCUCCGGUAUGAGUUUGUCCUCCAGAUGUCUCUGUGAACUCCAGAUGCUCUCUGACGCUUUUUCUCCCACAAUCAUCCCUCUUCAUUCCCACUAACAAUUAGAUAAUGAAAUAUUGAUUUUUAGUUAGAUUCAUAUUGAUGCUAUUAGCUUUGCAUUGAUAAAUUACUGAUGCUGGAGGCCAGAGCAGGAAGACAUUACUGUGUGUUAAUCUGAUGGAUAUACCUGCUUCUUCCUGCUUGGCUCUGAUUGUGCUGCCACAGCAGCGGGUUGUUGCUGCAUAUAAAUGUCUUUCAUAACAAUAUCUCCACUAAGCCUAACCUUGGUCCAGCUUUGUUUG